AUCAAGAGACUAAAGUCUUAUUCCAAAUAUAACCGGCAUUCGACUAGGAAGGUUUCGUUGUUGUGUGUUCUUGUUUUUGUUUGGAUAUUUGUUUUUCUUCGUCUUCUUGUUGUUCUUUUUGGUUUCGGUUGUAGAUAAAAUUCAAAUUAAUUUUAUAUUUAUUUAAUGCGCAUUUAGAUGUGAAUGAAUGAAUAUGCUUGUGUCAUGAUCUAGUUAAUAUUUUAAAAGUUUUUUUUUUACAUUUAUUCUUCUUGCAUAAAUUUACAUUCAAUCAAUGGACUAUUUUUAAUGGAAAUUUGUUUGUACAAAAAAAAAACUCGAUUAAGAAAUGUUAUAUUCGUAUGUAUCGUUGAUGAAAUCAACGCAAUUUUACUUGGCAUUCGCCGUCUACAUAUUGUUAUGGCAUACAAGCGUUGAUUAAAAUUCUUGCGCGCAUAAUUGUGUGUUCAUUCAGGUUUCGAAAAAUAUUAAAUUUAUCAGUCAAGUCCAUUGUUAUUCAGGAAAUACAAGCGCAAGAACGUUAAAGCAUCGUCUCUUUUAAUUCUACAACAAAAUAUUUAACUCAAGGUACCUCAAAUAGGAGUCACAAGUAAAUUUAAAAAAAUUUAGUUUAUUUGAACAAAAUAAUAAAAUAAAAUUCCGGGCAACAACGAAACAAGUAGCAGUAUUGUUACCCACUUUAUACUCUCAACUCAUCAAAAAGAAAAAGUGUACGAAAACAACGUAUAUCUUUCAUGCCGUGCAAUAAAUAAAGAAUACCAGAGAUAAUAAAUGUAUAUUCAACGCUUCGAUUGGAAUACGUAACGUACACAACACAUUGGAUGAAUUGAACUUAAAUAUAAAUGAAAUGCAACUGUUCUAAUAUCGCAUCGUGAAUUCAAUGUUAUUUUAAAUAUUGGUGUCGUUGGUGUCAUUACAAUUUUCGAUUAUUAUUUCUCCGUUCGGUGAGUGAGAUCAUGACGUCGGAUUACAUACAACCGGAUUACACCAUUGGCAGUAACGGUCUUCCGAAUAUUUUGAAUAAAAAGUGUGACAAGGCAAUGCCUCGCGAAUUGGCAUUUAAAACGAUUGCCGAUAACGUAGAUAGCAACAGAAAAUUGCUGAAAAACCGAAACAACCAACUGAACAAUCAAAUGAAUAAUCAACUGUUUGCAAUCACCGUCAAUCAACGGAAUGUGAGCAGUUGUACGAGUGAAUUGGAACACCAUGGCGGAGUAGAUAAGAAACUGAAAGACAAAUACAAUCGGCGAAUACGAGACUGUCGUGUCGAUGGUACAUAAUUUUAGCAAAUUAGAAUUAAAUUUUUGUAUUUUUUGUGAUAACAAGCUUUGUAAA